CAGGAACUUAGCAAGGGAGGCAAGUGGUUAUACAGGGGGAAAAGCAGCCAUCUGAGAUAAUUUAUUGAGUAUACUUAUGUGCCAGGCUCUGGACCAGAGACUCUGGGUGAUACAACCCUGAAAGGCAGCAGAAAACAUGCUUGCUCUUCUUACUCAAGCAAGAGAGGGCCAGCCUCCUAGAAAAUGUUUACAAGCUUCAAAGAAGACGUGCUUGCAUGGGACAGCACGAGAAACAUCCCCAGGUGCGUGUCAGAGCAAUGCUGGCAGCCCUUUGGUCUCA
rnacentral:lncRNA from 10 species